UACGUGGGGGGCAAGCGUUGUUCGGAAUUAUUGGGCGUAAAGGGUGCGUAGGCGGCGCGGUAUGUCUCUUGUGAAAUCUCCAGGCUCAACUUGGAGUCUGCAAGGGAAACUGCCGUGCUUGAGUACUGGAGAGGUGAGUGGAAUUCCCGGUGUAGCGGUGAAAUGCGUAAAUAUCGGGAGGAACACCUGUGGCGAAAGCGGCUCACUGGACAGUAACUGACGCUGAUGCACGAAAGCUAGGGGAGCAAACAGG
rnacentral:rRNA from 1 species